GACGAACCGUGCGAACGUUGUUCGGAAUCACUGGGCUUAAAGGGCGCGUAGGCGGGUUCGCAAGUCUGUGGUGAAAGCCCCCGGCUUAACCGGGGAAGUGCCGUGGAUACUGCGAAUCUUGAGGAGGGUAGGGGCAUCUGGAACGGUCGGUGGAGCGGUGAAAUGCGUUGAUAUCGACCGGAACUCCGGUGGCGAAGGCGAGGUGCUGGACCCUUUCUGACGCUGAGGCGCGAAAGCCAGGGGAGCAAACGGG
rnacentral:rRNA from 1 species